rnacentral:rRNA from 1 species
UACGAAGGGGGCUAGCGUUGCUCGGAAUUACUGGGCGUAAAGGGCGCGUAGGCGGCGCUGCAAGUCAGGCGUGAAAUUCCUGGGCUUAACCUGGGGGCUGCGCUUGAGACUGUGGUGCUGGAGGUCAGAAGAGGGUCGUGGAAUUCCCAGUGUAGAGGUGAAAUUCGUAGAUAUUGGGAAGAACACCGGUGGCGAAGGCGGCGACCUGGUCUGAUACUGACGCUGAGGCGCGACAGCGUGGGGAGCAAACAGG